AACGAACGCUGGCGGCAUGCCUAACACAUGCAAGUCGAACGCGUGUAGCAAUACACGAGUGGCGGACGGGUGAGUAACGCGUGGGAACCUGCCCAGUGGUAGGGAAUAACUGCGGGAAACUGCAGCUAAUACCCUAUACGCCCUUUGGGGAAAGAUUCAUCGCCAUUGGAGGGGCCCGCGUCGGAUUAGCUAGUUGGCGGGGUAACGGCCCACCAAGGCAACGAUCCGUAGCUGGCUGAGAGGAUGAUCAGCCACACUGGGACUGAGAUACGGCCCAGACUCCUACGGGAGGCAGCAGUGGGGAAUAUUGGACAAUGGGGAAACCCUGAUCCAGCAAUGCCGCGUGAGUGAAGAAGGCCUUCGGUU
rnacentral:rRNA from 1 species